rnacentral:rRNA from 1 species
UGCCAGUCGAACGGUAACAGGGAAGAGCUUGCUCUUUCGCUGACGAGUGGCGCACGGGUGCGUAACGCGUAUACAACCUACCUUCAAGCGGGGGAUAGCCCAUGGAAACGUGGAUUAAUACCCCAUGGUAUAUAGACUUCACCUGGAGACUAUAUUAAACAUUUAUGGCUUGAAGAUGGGUAUGCGUCCUAUUAGCUAGAUGGAGUGGUAACGGCACCCCAUGGCAACGAUAGGUAGGGGUCCUGAGAGGGAGAUCCCCCACACUGGUACUGAGACACGGACCAGACUCCUACGGGAGGCAGCAGUGAGGAAUAUUGGACAAUGGAGGCAACUCUGAUCCAGCCAUGCCGCGUGCAGGAAGACUGCCCUAUGGGUUGUAAACUGCUUUUAUACAGGAAGAAACCUCCCCACGUGUGGGGAGCUGACGGUACUGUAUGAAUAAGGAUCGGCUAACUCCGUGCCAGCAGCCGCGGUAAUACGGAGGAUCCAAGCGUUAUCCGGAAUCAUUGGGUUUAAAGGGUCCGUAGGCGGGUCUAUAAGUCAGUGGUGAAAGUCUGUCGCUCAACGAUAGAAUUGCCAUUGAUACUGUAGAUCUUGAAUUAUUAUGAAGUGGUUGGAAUGAGUAGUGUAGCGGUGAAAUGCAUAGAUAUUACUCAGAACACCUAUUGCGAAGGCAGAUCACUAAUACUAUAUUGACGCUGAUGGACGAAAGCGUAGGUAGCGAACAGGAUUAGAUACCCUGGUAGUCUACGCCGUAAACGAUGGUCACUAGCUGUCCGGCCUAAUUGAGGGCUGGGUGGCCAAGCGAAAGUGAUAAGUGACCCACCUGGGGAGUACGUUCGCAAGAAUGAAACUCAAAGGAAUUGACGGGGGCCCGCACAAGCGGUGGAGCAUGUGGUUUAAUUCGAUGAUACGCGAGGAACCUUACCAGGGCUUAAAUGCAGUCUGACAGGAGUGGAAA